CAUGCCUGUCGGGACCCG
rnacentral:snRNA from 1 species